CUUCCUCAUUUUUCUCUUGCCACUGCCAUGUGAGAAGUGCCUUUUGCCUCCCGCCAUGUUUCUGAGGCCUCCCCAGCCAUGUGGAACUCAGGACACUGGGGAAAUAGCCGAGUUUUGAAGAAUGUCAGCAGGGAGCCACCAGGGAUCAUCCUCCCCGGUAAGAAGAGACCUCCAGAGACCUUCAGGAAGCUGGAAAGAAGCUUCCAAUGAUUCCCAGUGGUAGAAGUGUGUGGUGCAAAGGCACUUAGGUGGACAGGUUUGGCCCUCAACAUGAACUUGAUGGAUGCUUGGAAGUCUUAACAUGGCCCUGUAUACAAAAUGGUAUCCUCUGGCCACACAAGCAUGUUGAGUAGAAAUGGAAGAAAAUAAGCUCUGUGCUCAGUUUUGGAUCUCAAGAUGUAUCUGUGUUGUACAAGUUAUAGAUCAUACCCUUUCAUGUGCCAAGAACAGGCCAUCUGAUAGCUCGUGUCUCCAUGCAGUAUCAUCUUCAACUUUUCCAGCUAUUUGCUCACUGCCCCUUAGGGCAAAGGGAGCUAUUUAUGACUGAUUAUGAUUACCCGGGAUCUAGGAUGAGAAGCUCAUAGAACAAAUAUGGAAGCUGAAUGAGGCUUUUAAAAAUCAUAAUCCAAGAAGAGAGAUGAUGACCAGCUGCUCCAUAGUGAGUACCAGGAAGUAGACAAGAACCAAAAUGCCUUCUGAGUAAUGUAGAGUGAGGCCAAUUAAAUGUUGACCUGGGGUAUGGAGAAAAACUGGGGAUUUCCUUCUCUGGAGGCCUCUUAACAAUAAAUACGUGACUAUCUAGCAAGAUUUGUUUAUGUGAUUGUCCUCAUAAACCCAAAGAAAUAGACUCAAUUGAUUUCCAAUCUGUGAUUACAGAGAGUUUAUAUUUUGCUUUAUUCUAAGAGGAAAUAGCAACUGGUGACCAACCCAAUUCUUCCUCUCUACCUUUAUUUCCAAUGAGUGUGGUAUGUUUUAUAUUUCGGCUGUGUCUAAAGGCUGUAGUCUGCAGAGUCCAAGUUAUCCAAUGGUUCAGGGACUGAAAAGGAAACCCAGUUAUGCAAUGGUUCAGGGACUGAAAAGGAGUAUGGGGAUGUGGCUCUCCUCCUCCAAAUCCUUCCAUGGGGUCUUCUCUGGAGAAAGAUUACUUUUCCUAGACUUACACUGUCCAAUACAGUACCCACUAGCCACGUGUAGUUAUGUACAUUUAAAUUAAUUAAAAUUAGGUACAGAAGUUUUAGAGAAACAGAAACGCGAACAGGGAGUCAUG
rnacentral:lncRNA from 1 species